AGUCUAACAUGUGCGCGAGUCAUGGGGCUCUUACGAAACCCAAAGGCGCAAUGAAAGUGAAGGUCUCCUCCGGAGUACCCAGGCAGGAUCCCGGGCCACGGUUCGGGCGCACUGCCGGCCCGUCUCGGCGGCAUUGUCCGCGAGGCGGAGCAAGAGCGCACACGUUGGGACCCGAAAGAUGGUGAACUAUGUCUGAGUAGGGCGAAGUCAGAGGAAACUCUGAUGGAGGCCCGCAGCGAUUCUGACGUGCAAAUCGAUCGUCAAACUUGGAUAUAGGGGCGAAAGACUAAUCGAACCAUCUAGUAGCUGGUUCCCUC
rnacentral:rRNA from 1 species